rnacentral:lncRNA from 1 species
CACACAGGAGGCCCCGCCUUUCUCUAUUCCCCACAGCCCCUUCCUUGACCCCUCUACCUGUUGCUGAGGCCUGGACUCUGCCUGAGACCACCUGCCUGGUUCUUGGCUGCCUGUUUGGCCUUGUUUUUCUUGUUCUGGUUGUUCAACAUUGCUACAGCAGAGCUGCCUACAUGGGAUCUGGACUUUCUGAGCCCCUGCCCUCUGAGGGUGUCUAUGAAGACAUCGAACUUGUUCCUGUGGAGGAGAGAGAAGAGAGGCCCUCAGUGUUUGGGGGCCCAGUGCUGGAGGGUUAUGAUGACAUAGAAGAGACCCAGGAAGGCCAUGAGGAGGAAGCAGAGGAAGCAGAGUUGUCCAGAGUCCUACUCAGUCCCAUGGGUGGGGCUCCUCAUUUCCUUGGCCCUGAAGCUUAGCCAGGAAUAAAGUCCUAUUGUGGGCCAUGGCAAUCAUAUGCCUAUGAGCUGAUCAUGCAAACCAUAAAUGUGCUCAGAGCAUGAGAAGAAUGCAGGAGGGCUUUCUUACCUUCUUUCUUAAAAAUGUUAUUAAAUAUACUUUGAUUUCAC